CUCUCUUCCUCAGGGAGACACCUAGCAGCGCCGCACCACCGAAAAAAAUAGAGGCAGCCCUUUUGGGCUGCUCUCUCUUCUCCUUCUCCUCCAUUUUUCCUCUUUAAUUCUCAAGCAGGAGACGGAGACGGAGACGGAGGAGAACUCGUGAGGCCGGGUCUGGAGAUACCGAGUCUCCCAUUGUCAGCUACCCCUGUCCACCCUUAGAAGACUUCUAAGAUGAUCUGGUCUGGGGUGAGAGUGAAGCUGCUAAGCUGAUUCAGGAGGCGACUGCCUCUUUGGGAGCACUUUGCUGGCAUGCUCAAUCCUUCUCACCUUGAGCCCAGAUUAUCGUAGCCCUCUUCUCCAGACCAGAUAAUCUUAGCCCUCUCAAUCAGGCCAUUUCCGGUGGUUGUCGCUGUCCUCUUCGGCCUCGGUGGUUGUCGCUGAAGAGGCCGCGAUGGGAGUGAAGGCUUCUGGCUUAAAAUUUUUACCAAGAGAGGUCAUCUAAAACAAAAAUAGAUAUAUAUAUCAAGUCUGUGAAGGCAAAGACUUGAUAUAUAUCUAUUUUUGUUUUAGGAUGACCUCUCGUUGAUAUGUCGGCAUUUGAGUUGAGACAUUUUGGUGACCUCUAGUUCGAUUUAGUGGCUAUCUAUUGUCUCAUGGUGUUUUCAGAGAUUGUAUAGCUCCAUAAUUUGGUAUUGCGCUUUUACGGUUAGAAAGGUAUGUCAAGUCUGUCGCAAGUAGGCUUUUUAUGGCUCAUAUUAGUACUGUAAUCAUACAAUCCUACUCGUGACACUUCCCAUAUGAAUGAAAUUUGAUGGCUUGUUGAUAGAUAAAAUAAAAUUUAUGGAACCGAUUAGUAUGACCAAA